CUGUGGAGAGCAGGAAUCCCCGGCCUGACCAUAGUUCGUACAUAUUCUCCCUGAUGGAGGCUAGCCUGACAUUGACCUCACAUCAUGGUAGCUGGCAGCUCAACGUCGCUGUGCAAGGAGAACGACGGAGGUGGUUCACACAAUGCAUCAAAGAGGAACUGAAUGUUACACUGGAUGCCAGCCAGUGGUGGGCCUCAAGCUGGGGUUCGUUUGAGCCCCUGGCAGCAUCAGUGACACACAAAAUGUCGGCAGGAGGCAACCAUGGAUGUCCUGCGGCUCAUCUCUCUGCUGGCUGUCUAGAGACUGUAGUGCUUCACGCACAAUGAGGGCUGUAUGCAGGCUGUGGAGAGCAGGAGUGCCCGGCCUGCCCAUUGUUCAUACAGAUUCCCCCUGAUGGAUCCUAGCCUGACAGUGACCUCACAUCAUG